rnacentral:SRP_RNA from 1 species
CGCGCCAGGCGGGGCAGUAGCGGUGCCCUAAACCCGAAAUCCGCUGUAGCGGGGCUGGAAUCCUUCUUUCGGCUAAGUGGCAAUGGCACGCGUUGCAACUGGGAAUGUUGACGGUCGGGUCCUGUGCAAUGUCAUCCUGUGAAUCAUGUCAGGCCUUGACGGGAGCAGCAUUAAGCAGAACGUGGCAUGUGCCGCAGGGAAACCGGGCCGGAGUUCUCCUUUUACAAUAGCACCGUUGUAGCUUUUCCAACGGAAGGUGCGCG